AUGGAUCCUUAUCCUCCCGAAAAUAGACUCGGCGCCCUCGUGGUUUGUAGCGGCACACUCCCUUCCCACGCCGCCGAAGAGGCCCCCAGGGCGGCCGACGACGCCUUUAGCGGCCUUCCGGAGACACAGCAAGUCUGGCCUACGGUGGGGUGGCGGCAUGCGCAGCAUGGUCGUCGUUUGAUUCAGGAGCGACCUCCGGCUGCUGAACAACCAGUCACUGGAGCACGUGUGGAUGGCCUCUGGCACUGUCCUCACCAAUGGAGGAGCCUCGCCUAUGCUGCAGUGCUGCAGGGCGGUGGUCGGGGUGGUCCGCACCGGCGCCUACAAUGUGUGCCUCAUCCUAACUGGCAAAGUGAUCUUCAGCCUCCCCAUCAACUACACCCUCGGCAUCUCCCUUCCGAGGAUCUAUACGGCGACGCAGAUCCUAGCUCCAGAUGUCUUAAAUUCUCCUUUGUUGACCUUGCCUUGACAUCGCCUCGAUGUCUCGCAAUUCUUCCGCACUGUUGCCACCGGAUUCGUCGGUUGAUGAGAAGGCGCUGUUGCCGUGAGUGGAAUCGACGCCGAUCAUGCAGGGGCAGAGAUAGGUGGUGGUACCCAUCAUGCGUUGGUAGAUAUGUUUUUGCAAGUCUGUGUUACACUUGGUAUUGUGUGCGUAUGUAUGUAGUUAGACAAGUAAAUCUGUUUCAUGGAGGAGAGAGUGCAGCUCUGUGA
rnacentral:rRNA from 1 species